AAUGCCUUUCUCACUGGGAGAACAGAGUCUGUUUAGCCAGAGACAUUUGAACAAGACAUGUUCUUUUAGGAUUUAAAAUCUGAGAUCCUCAUUGAACCAGGGAGGAAAACAUGAUGGAAUCCUUGACUGUUGUACUAGUGAUUUUGUGGCUACAGUGGAAUGGGGUAAGCAGCCAGCAAAAGGAGGUGGAGCAGAGUCCUGAUUUCCUCCGUGUUCCAGAGGGAGACAGCGCCCAUUUUAACUGUACUUACAGCAACAGUGCUUCUCAGAACUUCGGGUGGUACCGACAGUACCCUGGGAAAGGCCCCGAGCUGCUGGUAUCCAUAUACUCCAGUGGGGACAAAAAAGAAGGAAGAUUCACAGCGCAGCUCAGCACAGCCAGCCGGCAUUUCUCCCUGCACAUCCAAAGCUCCCAGCAUCGCGACUCAGCUGCCUACUUCUGUGCACUGAGCACACAGUGCUCCCCAGGCACCUGCAGCCUGCACCAGAACCACAGGGGCCUCAGCAGGCUUGAGUGA